rnacentral:tRNA from 1 species
GCUGCGAUAGUUUACCCUAAAACAUUAGCUUGUGAAGCUAAAAACGGAAUCAACACAUUUCCCCGCAGCC